rnacentral:misc_RNA from 1 species
GAUGAAGAACGUAGCGAAAUGCGAUAAGUGAUGUGAAUUGCAGAAUUCAGUGAAUCAUCGAAUCUUUGAACGCACAUUGCGCCCAUUAGUAUUCUAGUGGGCAUGCCUGUUCGAGCGUCAUUUCAACCCUUAAGCCUAGCUUAGUGUUGGGAAUCUGCUGUAUUGCAGUUCCUCAAAUACAACGGCGGAUCUGUAACAUCCUCUGAGCGUAGUAAAUUUUUAUCUCGCUUUUGUUAGGUGUUGCAGCUCUCAGCCGCUAAACCCCCCAAUUUUUGUGGUUGACCUCGGAUCAGGUAGGAAUACCCGCUGAACUUAAGCAUAUCACUAAGCGGAGGA